rnacentral:rRNA from 1 species
GACGAACGCUGGCGGCGUGCUUAACACAUGCAAGUCGAACGGAAAGGCCCUGCUUUUGUUGGGUGCUCGAGUGGCGAACGGGUGAGUAACACGUGAGUAACCUGCACUUGACUUUCGGAUAUCUUCAGGAAACUGGGGCUCAUACCGGAUAGGAUCUCUUGCUGCAUGGUGGGGGUUGGAAAGUUUCGGCAGUUGGGGAUGGACUCGCUGCUUAUCAGCUUGUUGGUUGGGUAGUGGCUGACCAAGGUUUUGACGGGUAGCCGACCUGAGCGGGUAACCGGCCACCAUGGGCCUGAGAUACGGCACAGACUCCUACGGUAGGCAGUAGUGGGGAAUAUUACACAAUAGGGGGAAGCAAGAUGUAACAACGCUGCGUGCGGGAAGCCGUGCUUCGGGUUGUAAACCAAUUUCGCCUGUGCCGAAGCGUGAGUGACGGUACUGGGUAAAGAAGCACCGGCUAACUACGUG